AUUGAACGCUGGCGGCAGGCCUAACACAUGCAAGUCGAACGAGUGGCGGACGGGUGAGUAAUGUCUGGGAAACUGCCUGAUAGAGGGGGAUAACUCCUGGAAACGGUGGCUAAUACCGCAUACAAUCGGAUGAUCCCAGAUGGGAUUAGCUAGUGGGGGGGGUAACGGCUCACCUAGGCGACGAUCCCUAGCGGGUCUGAGAGGAUGACCAGCCAGACGGGAACUGAGACACGGUCCAGACUCCUACGGGAGGCAGCAGUGGGGAAUAUUGCACAAUGGGCGCAAGCCUGAUGCAGCCAUGCCGCGUGUAUGAAGAAGGCCUUCGGGUUGUAAAGUACUUUCAGCGGGGAGGCGUUACCCGCAGAAGAAGCACCGGCUAACUCCGUGCCAGCAGCCGCGGUAAUUC
rnacentral:rRNA from 1 species